UAACCGUCAAUUAAGACAUCCACAUUAGCCAAAUGUGUGAUUAUAGAUAUGCAAUUCAGUAAAUGGUACAUUAAAAGGAACCUGGCUGGGAGUAUCUGAUCCCAAAACAGCUCAGUAGGGUUCAGACUGCCGCUUCAUUGAACCGGGACACUGACGAUGACCUUCUCCGUAUCUGGCCGAUCAUUUUGUGCACACAUGUCCUCUGGGAUGGAAAUCUUCAAAACCUCAUCCAGUGGAUGCAGGCACUUGGGGAAAACAGGGUCCUCAUGAGUGUGGAUAUCCAGCACAUGGUUCAGGAUGGAGGUCCAUUUCGCCACUCUCUCUG